GAAAUUUAAGGGCGUACGGUGGAUGCCUUGACUUUAAGAGGCGAUGAAGGACGUGGCGUUGCUGCGAUAAGCUUCGGGGAGGUGCUUAGCAACCUUUGAUCCGAAGAUUUCCGAAUGGGGAAACCCUGUCCCGACGUUUACGUCGGGACAAUUUUAACGUUUAUCGUUAAAGAGCGCACCCUGGGAAGUGAAACAUCUCAGUACCAGGAGGAGUAGAAACAAAUAUGCAUUUCCCCAGUAGCGGCGAGCGAAAAGGAAGGAGCCCAAACUUUAGUCGCAAGACUAGAGGGUUGUAAGGUAGCAAUUUUUAUUUAAUUAGAGAGGAGUCAAAAAAUAAGUUAUUAGCUUAAGUUGCUGGAAAGCGACACCAUAGGGGGUGAUAGUCCCGUGAGCGAAAAUAAUUUAUCUCUUUUAUUGCUAUUCUUGAGUACCCCAGGACAUGAAUGGCCGGGGGGAAUCCAGCGGAACUAACCGCUAAGGCUAAAUACUCUUAAAGAUCGAUAGUGAACUAGUACCGUGAGGGAAAGGUGAAAAGCAGCCCGAUUAGGGCGGUGAAAUAGACCUGAAACCGUAUGUCUACAAGGAGUCGAACCUCGUCUUCGGAUGAGGAACGGCGUGCCUAUUGAAGAAUGAGCCAACGAGUUUAUUCAUGUUGCUGGCGAAGCUGGCUAAAACAGCAGAGCCAAAGGGAAACCGAGUGUUAAUAGCGCGAAAUUAAAGUAACAUGCAUAAGACCCGAAACCUAGUGAGCUUGCCAUGAGCAGGUUGAAGUUCGUCGAAAGACGGAUGGAGGACCGAACCGGUAGAUCGUACAACGUCUUCGGAUGACUUGUGGUAAGGAGUGAAAAGCUAAUCGAACUAGGUAAUAGCUGGUUCUCUCCGAAAUAGCUUUAGGGCUAGCGUCGUGUGUUUUCUUUGGGGGUAGAGCACUGGAAGGUUCGGACAGGUCGCAAGAUCGCUGAACCUAUUAAACUCCGAAUACCAGAGACCAAACACGGCAGUCAGGCUAUGGGGGCGAAGCUCCAUUAGCCAAAAGGGAAACAGCCCGGAUCUCUAAAUAAGGUCCCUAAAUAUAUACUAAGUGUAAAACAAGAAGGUGAAGUUUCUUAAACAAUGAGGAGGUUGGCUUAGAAGCAGCCAUCCUUUAAAGAUAGCGUAACAGCUCACUCAUCUAGAGAUUUUGCGUCGAAAAUAAUUGGGGCUAAGUAUAUUACCGAAUUUGAGGGAUCAUAAGAAAUUUAUUUUUUAUGAUCGGUAGGAGAGUGUUCCACUCUGCUGUGAAGCAAGACUCGUGAGAGCUUGUGGAGCGUGUGGAAGCAAGAAUGUUGGCACAAGUAACCGCAAUGAUGCUGAGAACGCAUCACGUCGAAAGAUCAAGGUUUCCUUGGUAAUGUCAAUCAGCCAAGGGUUAGUCGGGCCUAAGGGAAUGGCGAAAGCCGUACUCGAUGGACACAGGGUUAAUAUUCCCUGACUUUUAUGUUUUGUGAUGGGAUGACGGAGGGUAGUAUGUAUCGCUCAUUAUUGGAUUUGAAGUUCGUGUCUUGAUUGUGUUGUGUAGGAAAAUCCGCACAAUGUCUUAAAUGGCACAUGAAAGAGAAGCGAAAAGUUUUAUUCUUCGGGAUAGAAUAAUGAUACAAAGCACGCUUCCAAGAAAAAUCUCUAAACUUAAAAAUGUAAGAUCCGUACCGCAAACCGACACAGGUGAUCAGGUCGAUUAGACCAAGACGAACGAGUGAGUGGUCCCCAAGGAACUCGGCAAAAAAGCAGCCGUAACUUCGGGAUAAGGCUUCCCCUUUGUUAACUCAAAGGGGCGCAGUGAAAGUAUCUCUGGCAACUGUUUACCAAAAACACAGCUCCCUGCGAACUCGCAAGAGGAUGUAUAGGGGGUGACACUUGACCAAUGCCAGAAGGUCAAAUAUCGACGUUGCUAUGUCGCAAGAUGUAGUGGUGAUUGAUAUAAGCCCUGGUGAAUGUCGGCCGUAACUAUAACGGUCCUAAGGUUCUGCACACAACGCAAGUUAUGCGCGGAAUGACUGGGACUGUUAUAGAGUAAAGGUAAACAAUUAAAUUAAAAAAUUAUUAGAUUAUUCGAAUGCUACCUGCUUCACAGUAAUGUGAAGACAGUCAAAACUUGGCUAACGAGAGACCAGCGUCAAGCAUCCUAACCCUCGGGUGGAUGAAGAUAGAGUCCUUCUUAGGUAUAGAAGAGCGAAAUACCUUGUCGGGUAGAAAACUGCCCAUCCGAAGAGUGAUCCUCGGAUUAAAUCUGGCUUAUAACGGUGGAGCCCUUUGUAACAUAAUGCGCGUACACAAAGGGGAAUACCGUGGGAAGUCGUUCUGUCGCAAGUAGGCAGAAUUGACCCCGUAACGACUUAGGUCGCCUAUGUAUAAUGGCGACUAAGAUGGAAAUGUGAUAUACUUUCCAUAAUAUGCCGGCUCUCAAAACAAAACGCAAUAUACAAGAAUAUAUUUCUGGAUAUAUAGAUGGAGAAGGUUGCUUCAGUAUUUCAUUUUCAAAACGAGAUAAAUUUCUCGUCGGUUGGGAAACUAAACCAAGUUUUUCAGUUAGUCAAAAUGAAGACAGAGCGCAAACCCUUUUCUUGAUGAAAAGAACUUUCAAAUGUGGAUUCAUUAGGCGAGAUUUUUCAGACAAAACACUUAAAUACGAAGUGCGAAGUCUGGAUGAUUUGAUCCGUCAUGUAAUUCCUCAUUUUAAAAAAUAUCCAUUGGUUUCAGCUAAACAAAGAGAUUUUAAAUUUUUUGAAAAAGUCUGUUUAUUGAUGCAAAAACAAUUGCAUAAAAACAAAAAUGGACUAGGAAAAAUUAUGAAUCUUGCGUUUCAAAUGAACCCAAGCGGUAAGCGGAAAUAUACGAAAGCGGAAAUGCAAAAAGCGUUGAGAUGAAGAUAUAGUCUGAUCCCUCUUGUAAAAGAGGAUAACAAAUUUGAAGUUCCGACGCGCACGAAUAGUGUAAUGACUGGAGAACUGUCUCGGGGACCAGCUCGGUGAAAAUACAAUACCGGUGAAGAUGCCGGUUAAGUGCAGUUAGACGAAAAGACCCUAUGAAGCUUUACUAUAACUUUAUAUUGAGCAUAUUUUUGGACUGCGUAGAAUAGAUGGGAGGGGUCUGAUGUGUACGGUUUUGGCUGUACUCUACCCAACAGUGAAAUACCAUUCUUUUUGAGGAUAUGUUCUAACCAAAACGGCAAAAACGUUUUGAGACAGUAUAUGGCGGAUAGUUUUACUGGGGCUGUACCCUCCUAAAAAGUAAAGGAGGGGUUUAAAGGUCAGCUAGGCGCGAAUGGAAACCGUGCCGAUAGUGUAUGAGCACAAGCUGGCUUGACUGUAAGACGUACUUGUCAAGCAGGUGGGAAACCAGAAUCAAGUGAACCGACCACCCGUGUUAGACGCGGUGGAAGAUUAACGGAUAAAAGCUACUCUAGGGAUAACAGGCUAGUUCCGCCCAAGAGUUCAUAUCGACGGCGGAGUUCGGCACCUCGAUUAACACCGAAUGUCGAGGAGAGAGUACGAACAGUACUCUCAUGUGUAUGAUGAAAAUCAUGCACACUAAAUCAGCUCAUAACGGAGAAACCCAUAUCGCGGAACAAUGAUAUAAUUGUUUAAAUAUGGUCAACACCGUGGGAAGUUUAGAAAGUAAAUAUUGGAAUAAGAAAAUGCUUUCUUUGAAAAAAGAAAUGCGACUUACCUCCAAACAGCGAUCUUUUAUUAUUGGAUCGAUGUUAGGAGAUGCAACAAUGCGAGUUGGUAUAAAAGCAAAAAAUGCCAAUUUUAAAAUUGAUCAUUGUCUGGAACAGAAAGAGUAUGUGUUUUGGAAAUACGAAAUCUUAAAAAAUUUAGUAUUAACUCCUCCACGACUUAGUUAUCGUACGACAAAAGAAGGAGUACGGUAUAAAAAAUCAUGGUGGUUUAGAACACUACGCCAUCCUGUUCUGACAGAAAUAUAUAAUCAAUUUUACACAACUGAUUCAUAUCGUUGUGGUCGAAAAAUUGUUCCCGAUUCUCUUGUUGAGAGUAUGAAUCCUUUUAUCGUGGCUAUUUGGGUCAUGGAUGAUGGAUCGUACAAUCAAGGAAAAAUCGACAUAAGUACAUAUUCCUUUACUUUGCAAGAAAUUAAGAAGCUUUGUUUUAUUAUAAAAAAUAAAUUUAAUAUAACUAUGCUCUAUCAUAAAGAUAGGGAUAAGGGAUAUAGAAUAUAUUGCAAUAAAACAGAAACUAAAAAACUUGUAAACCUAAUUUGUCCUUAUAUCAUCAAAACAAUGAGAUAUAAGAUAGGACUUUUAUAACCCCGUAACGACUGGAGUCUUGCAACUUGCAGGACAAAGAUAGCAAUUUGCUAUAACACGCUGGUAUCUUAGAACAAAUCUAAAGAUAAAGGUAUAGUCUGCGCCACUAGUAAUAGUGGGUUUACACAUCCAAUUUGGAUGAAUGUAUGUAAUAUUGUGGUCGGCUCACCUUAGCGCGGCGGCGAAGAAGCUGCCAAGCGUUUGGCUGUUCGCCAAUUAAAAAGGUACGCGAGCUGGGUUCAGACCGUACAGAAGUGGAAAGUAGAAAGUUCAUAAAGUUCAUAAAGUAAAAAGCAAAUGCAUUUUGUAUUUGUUUCCAACUUUAUAACUUUACACUUUAUAACUUUUAACUGUUGUACCGUUUGAACCCUCAGAGGAAUUUGAACUUAAUGAACUUAAGUAAUGAACUGUUUUAAUCGAAAUCAAUCAUAAGCCUGUGGGCUUAUCACGGCGGCUCUAAAUUAUUAUAUUUAGGGAAAAGCUGGGGUUUUCGGUGAAAUCCAACAUCAUGAAAAUGAUAGGACAACACCGAGAAGAAAUUUUAAUUUUUCUUUGUAGAGACUACAAACCAGCCUUCAGCCUUAGGCUGAAGAAUGUAUAGUCCGAUCCUCAUAGGAAUAUGAGAAAAGUUUUACUGAAGAGUAAAACUGUAGAUGCGUGAGACAGGUUGGUCUCCUAUCUACUGCACUCGUUGAUUCUUGAAAAGAUUUGCUUCUAGUAAGCCCGGAAGGGCUCAUGCUACUUCGUGAAGAAAUUCACGAUGACAAUGUGGCUAAUAACGGUGGAGUCUUCAUUUAUGUUUCUAGUUCGAUGAAAAAUAAUAUCAUUCGAUCCUAGAUAUUAUGAUUCGCUUGAGGACCAGAAAUGUGGUAAGAUAAUACCGUGGGAAGUCGUGUAAUAAUUAAAAUAUGAAAAUAAAAGAGAUUCCGCAAGCAAUAUUGAAUUACGAUUUAACCAAAAGAAGAAUAUUUUGGAUAAUAGUAAUCGUAAUAGUAUUUAUAGCUUUGCUUGGUAAUUAAUUUCAGAGUAACAAGAGAAUAAAAAAUUAUUAUAUUGACCCCGUAACGACUUGUUUCUCCGGCAUAGGCUGGGGAACGGACUUGCAUAACGCUGGAAAGCCUCGAUAAACAUCGGGAUAGGCUUAUGCUUGUAAUACGCCAACAUCCUCCUUUCAGUUUGAAAAAGGAUGAAGAUAUAGUCUGCACUCCUAGAAAUAGGGGAUAUAAUGUGACGAGAGGACCGAAGUGAACUGACCUCUGGUGUGUGAGCUGUCCUGCCAAGGGCACUGCUCAGUAACUAUGUCGGGAUUGGAUAACCUCUGAAAGCAUCUAAGAGGGAAGCCAGCUUUAAGAUUAGGAAUCGUUAAGAACCGUGAGAGAUGAUCACGUUGAUAGGCUUUAAGUGUAAGGCAAGUAAUUGCUUGAGCUGAGAAGUACUAAUGUUUCGAUU
rnacentral:rRNA from 1 species